rnacentral:misc_RNA from 1 species
AAAGUCGUAACAAGGUUUCCGUAGGUGAACCUGCGGAAGGAUCAUUAAUGAUAUAAAUUGUCUUACCUUCAGUGCUGGCUCUUACAAGGGCAUGUGCACGUUGGAAGGCAUAUAUCCAACACCCUCUUGUGAACCAUUGGCCUUUGCUGGCUUCGGCUGGUCGAGGAUUUACACAAACACGAAUGUAAUGAAAUAAUGUUGUGCUCAGCACUAAUAUACAACUUUCAACAACGGAUCUCUUGGCUCUC